GACGAACGCUGGCGGCGUGCUUAACACAUGCAAGUCGAACGGAAAGGCCCUGCUUUUGUGGGGUGCUCGAGUGGCGAACGGGUGAGUAACACGUGAGUAACCUGCCCUUGACUUUGGGAUAACUUCAGGAAACUGGGGCUAAUACCGGAUAGGAGCUCCUGCUGCAUGGUGGGGGUUGGAAAGUUUCGGCGGUUGGGGAUGGACACGCGGCUUAUCAGCUUGUUGGUGGGGUAGUGGCUUACCAAGGCUUUGACGGGUAGCCGGCCUGAGAGGGUGACCGGCCACAUUGGGACUGGGAUACGGCCCAGACUCCUACGGGAGGCAGCAGUGGGGAAUAUUGCACAAUGGGCGGAAGCCUGAUGCAGCAACGCCGCGUGCGGGAUGACGGCCUUCGGGUUGUAAACCGCUUUCGCCUGUGACGAAGCGUGAGUGACGGUAAUGGGUAAAGAAGCACCGGCUAACUACGUG
rnacentral:rRNA from 1 species